AUCUUGCUGGGAGAUCCCUGCCUACCUGAGGCCUUCUAAGGGUCACCUUGCUUGGGCAACUUAGUAAGCUGAGCCACUGCUGUGUCAAAUAUUGUGCUAAAAGCAGACUGAGCUGGCUGACAGGCAGCCUCGGAGAUGCUGCAGAUGAAAAAUCAGUGAAGCCAAAAAAGGAAUCAGUUGCUGCAUUGUCACCUAUAGUGCUUCAAGAUCCCAAAGCCCACCUGGAGUUUCUGUGUAUCAAGUCUCCUGCUAUGUGGAGGCUGCUGCAGCCUCUGGCUGCUGCUCUGCUUGGUCUCCAGGCUGUCUAUGCCUAUUUCAUUCUGCUUCAGUGUUUUCCCCUGCUGGAUUUUAAUGUGAGAAUAAUGGCAUGACAAGCAAGGAACAACUGGAGAAGUGCCUCUCUCAGCCAGAGCCUGAUCAUUUGCGUUGGCAGGGCUGUCAGCCUUCAAAUUCCUGAUUGUAUUUUUUCAUUGGUCAACACAUGGACAAAAUUACCUCACCUCUACCUGUUUUUUUUUCUGCUGGAACAUGAGAUACUGUUCUCAGCCCAACCCGUAUUUGAUUUCUGCUUUACUGUGGGAAAGAUCACAAGAAACUUGAGAAAACAGAAUCAUCCCAACAGUCUUAGGCAUAGUGGCCUGGUGCCUGUAUUUGUCACACAGGGUUAUAUGCGAGUGCUGCGAUACUGGUUUGGUGACAUACUCUCCACCAUGCAGCUGCACUCUGGAGCCCUCCCUGCAAGGAGGAAGGUCUUGUCCAUAAGAUAAGGGAGCAGCUGAUGAAAAAGGAGGACAGUUGUAAUAGAGGGAAUAUCCAUGAAGUUGCAUGCAUUUUUAAGGGAUUUCCUGAAUGAGACAACUAGGCUCAGGUUUCAGCACAGAUAUGUCCAGUGGUUAAAAGAUUUUUAUUUUCAACCUUUAGCACUGAUAGUAAAAAGAAUAGCAAGUGUUUUCCUAGAGCGGCUAGGUAAGCUUUGCUCCAGUUUUCAAGAAA
ensembl:lncRNA